GAGCUCGUAGGCGGUUUGUCGCGUCUGCCGUGAAAGUCCGGGGCUUAACCCCGGAUCUGCGGUGGGUACGGGCAGACUAGAGUGCAGUAGGGGAGACUGGAAUUCCUGGUGUAGCGGUGAAAUGCGCAGAUAUCAGGAGGAACACCGAUGGCGAAGGCAGGUCUCUGGGCUGUAACUGACGCUGAGGAGCGAAAGCAUGGGGAGCGAACAGGAUUAGAUACCCUGGUAGUCCAUGCCGUAAACGUUGGGCACUAGGUGUGGGGGACAUUCCACGUUUUCCGCGCCGUAGCUAACGCAUUAAGUGCCCCGCCUGGGGAGUACGGCCGCAAGGCUAAAACUCAAAGGAAUUGACGGGGGCCCGCACAAGCGGCGGAGCAUGCGGAUUAAUUCGAUGCAACGCGAAGAACCUUACCAAGGCUUGACAUGAACCGGAAUGAUGCAGAGAUGUGUCAGCCACUUGUGGCCGGUUUACAGGUGGUGCAUGGUUGUCGUCAGCUCGUGUCGUGAGAUGUUGGGUUAAGUCCCGCAACGAGCGCAACCCUCGUUCCAUGUUGCCAGCGGGUUAUGCCGGGGACUCAUGGGAGACUGCCGGGGUCAACUCGGAGGAAGGUGGGGACGACGUCAAAUCAUCAUGCCCCUUAUGUCUUGGGCUUCACGCAUGCUACAAUGGCCGGUACAAAGGGUUGCGAUACUGUGAGGUGGAGCUAAUCCCAAAAAGCCGGUCUCAGUUCGGAUUGAGGUCUGCAACUCGACCUCAUGAA
rnacentral:rRNA from 1 species